rnacentral:rRNA from 1 species
UACGUAGGCAGCAAACGUUGUUCGGAAUUAUUGGGCGUAAAGAGUGUGUAGGCGGUUGGGCAAGUCUGGUGUGAAAUCUCCCGGCUUAACUGGGAGGGUGCGCUAGAAACUGCCUGGCUUGAGUGUCGGAGAGGAAGGCGGAAUUCCUGGAGUAGCGGUGAAAUGCGUAGAUAUCAGGAGGAACACCAGCGGUGUAGUCCGCCUUCUGGACGAAAACUGACGCUGAGACACGAAAGCGUGGGGAGCAAACAGG